CUUGUCUUCUUCGACUCUUCUUCUCCGACAAAGGAGGCGCGACGCCGUCUUUUCUUCUUCUUACCAGACUUGGGUCAGGGAUAGUUUAAUCAGCCAAUACUGCAGAAAUCAUCUCGCCUUGGAUGCUAUUGAUUUCAGAAUCAACUGCAUUUGUAUGAAUCAGAAAGGACUUUAUUGAUCUUAUGAGGAGCUUAAGUAAUUGGGCAGUGGUGAAUGAUGAUAACCCAAAAAAGAAAGAUUGGAUGAUAAAGACAUGAAGAAAGUUUUAUAGUUUGUGUCUUGUGUAGAAUGGCUGCUCAAGUGGUCUAUAUAGUUUGGAAAGAAACAGAUAGGGAUUAUCAGGUAUUUUUGGAUGGUCUUGGCCUUGGG